AACGAACGCUGGCGGCAGGCUUAACACAUGCAAGUCGAACGCAUCGCAAGAUGAGUGGCAGACGGGUGAGUAACGCGUGGGAACAUACCCUUUUCUACGGAAUAGCUCUGGGAAACUGGAAUUAAUACCGUAUACGCCCUACGGGGGAAAGAUUUAUCGGGGAAUGAUUGGCCCGCGUUGGAUUAGCUAGUUGGUGGGGUAAAGGCCUACCAAGGCGACGAUCCAUAGCUGGUCUGAGAGGAUGAUCAGCCACAUUGGGACUGAGACACGGCCCAAGCGUCUACGGGAGGCAGCAGUGGGGAAUAUUGGACAAUGGGCGCAAGCCUGAUCCAGCCAUGCCGCGUGAGUGAUGAAGGCCUUAGGGUUGUAAAGCUCUUUCACCGAUGAAGAUAAUGACGGUAGUCGGAGAAGAAGCCCCGGCUAACUUCGUGCCAGCCGCCGCUGUAA
rnacentral:rRNA from 1 species